rnacentral:rRNA from 1 species
UGGGGAAUAUUGGACAAUGGGCGAAAGCCUGAUCCAGCCAUGCCGCGUGUGUGAAGAAGGUCUUCGGAUUGUAAAGCACUUUAAGUUGGGAGGAAGGGCAGUAAGCGAAUACCUUGCUGUUUUGACGUUACCGACAGAAUAAGCACCGGCUAACUCUGUGCCAGCAGCCGCGGUAAUACAGAGGGUGCGAGCGUUAAUCGGAUUUACUGGGCGUAAAGCGUGCGUAGGCGGCUAAUUGAGUCGGAUGUGAAAUCCCCGAGCUUAACUUGGGAAUUGCAGUCGAUACUGGUUAGCUAGAGUGUGGGAGAGGAUGGUAGAAUUACAGGUGUAGCGGUGAAAUGCGUAGAGAUCUGGAGGAAUACCGAUGGCGAAGGCAGCCAUCUGGCCUAACACUGACGCUGAGGUACGAAAGCAUGGGGAGCAAACAGG